CGGGACGUGGCGCAGCUUGGUAGCGCACCUGACUGGGGGUCAGGGGGUCGCAGGUUCAAAUCCUGUCGUCCCGACCA
rnacentral:tRNA from 1 species